ACGAACGCUGGCGGCGUGCUUAACACAUGCCAGUCGAACGGAAAGGCCCUGCUUUUGUGGGGUGCUCGAGUGGCGAACGGGUGAGUAACACGUGAGUAACCUGCCCUUGACUUUGGGAUAACUUCAGGAAACUGGGGCUAAUACCGGAUAGGAGCUCCUGCUGCAUGGUGGGGGUUGGAAAGUUUCGGCGGUUGGGGAUGGACUCGCGGCUUAUCAGCUUGUUGGUGGGGUAGUGGCUUACCAAGGCUUUGACGGGUAGCCGGCCUGAGAGGGUGACCGGCCACAUUGGGACUGAGAUACGGCCCAGACUCCUACGGGAGGCAGCAGUGGGGAAUAUUGCACAAUGGGCGGAAGCCUGAUGCAGCAACGCCGCGUGCGGGAUGACGGCCUUCGGGUUGUAAACCGCUUUCGCCUGUGACGAAGCGUGAGUGAUGGUAAUGGGUAAAGAAGCACCGGCUAACUACGUG
rnacentral:rRNA from 1 species